CGCAGGAAUCGGGCGUAUCUCCGAGCCAGGCCCGCUCCUGCGUCUCGUAUCCUUCCCUUUCCUUUCUCUAUCUCUCCCAGCGUCAGAUCCAAUCGCGCAGGCCGGCUCUCCUCGCAGGAAGACGGAUCCUCUGACUCUCUCCCGAUAUCCAAAGACAAAUCCGUCGGCUCUCCUCCACGCCCACACCGGGGGCUCGCCGCCCCGCUUAGACAUCGUGGGUUCCGCCACCACCGCGCGCACCUACGCCUGCAGACGAGCUCGUUGGAGCUCGCCACGCCGCCCGCCACCGAUCGAGAAGAAGAAGGGGGAGGGAAGGAGAGCACCACACAGUCGUCAAUCCAGUUGGAGAGCAAUCCCCGCCGUCGGCAUCUCGUCUUGGUUGGCCAUCUCCCCUCAGCCAUCUCACGUGUUGCGUGCAGCUUCUCACAUACAGAUUUUGGGUCAGAUUUCACUUCGGCUACAGCCACCCAGACAACCAAACACGCCCUAAGUGUGCUGCCCAUGAUUUAGCCCAACUAGCUAGAAGUAAGGUGUGUGCAGGGUGGAUGGAGGAUCCACCCGUAGAGAUUGUUGAUACUCUUGUAAAAGAUACUAUGGUUAUCACCUUGCAAUAAAGAGUACUUUGAUCUCAA